rnacentral:lncRNA from 1 species
GGGUAGGAGAAGGCCGAACUGCAGUGGCUGAAGAUUCAGCUGGCCCAUGAGUAGCAGGCGGUCAAGGAUGACGAGGCAGAGUCUGAGGUCUUGAGGAAGAGGCUUCGGGAGUCGGAGGGUGAAAGUCGGUGGUUCCACCAGAUGUACCAGGAGAUGCUGCUAAGAAAGAUGGAACCGGAAGAAGAAGUCAAAAACUUAAAGCA